AAAGAAAUAUAUUAAAGAAGCUUCUAACUUCUUAAAGAGCAAUAUCUUUGUUCAU
rnacentral:tRNA from 1 species